UAUGCCAUCAUUAUUAGCCAGUUAACAUAAAUAUUUUUAGUACAAUAGUUAUAUAGCUCUGUCAACCUCACCUUCUCUAGUCUUUGAGUCUUCGUCACCAAUACCAUUUUUACGCCGUUGUCACUAAUAAACUGCAUCGAUGGAUGACACCGAUAGUAGACGAGACAUAGUCAACCGCAGACUUCGAUUUAUUUUCAUGGUGUUCACGGGAGGAGUGUACUCAAUAGUGAUGCAUUCCCUGAUUAUCAUUGCAUACACCUUGAUAAAUGUUCAUAUUAUCUAUAAUUAUGGCUUUUAUGACGACGUGUUUGGCUAUGUAUCUGGGAUCUUCAUGAUGUACAUCUUUGGGUUCAUAUUUGAAAUCAAGUUCAGACAGUCUAACAAGCCGUUGGAAGCCAUGGUUGUGGAAUAUUCCGGCAAUUUUGGGGCAUUUAUCCUCCUACUCCCCCUCAUAUUAGCGACACCCAUCGAUAAUGUUAUGAUUUUUAUCAAUAUAUAUGUUGGGGUAGUAUUUGGGCUUUGGUGUCUCUUUAUAUUUCUUGCUGUAAUUGCAUACGACCACCUACAAGAGUAUGACCCUUUAUUUCAACCACUUGUUUAGGAUCCAGAUCAACAUAAUAAACCUCUUCUUUUUUUUCAA